AGAGUUUGAUCCUGGCUCAGAUUGAACGCUGGCGGCAUGCCUUACACAUGCAAGUCGAACGGCAGCACGGGAGCAAUCCUGGUGGCGAGUGGCGAACGGGUGAGUAAUAUAUCGGAACGUGCCCAGUCGUGGGGGAUAACGCAGCGAAAGCUGUGCUAAUACCGCAUACGAUCUAUGGAUGAAAGCGGGGGAUCGCAAGACCUCGCGCGAUUGGAGCGGCCGAUAUCAGAUUAGGUAGUUGGUGGGGUAAAGGCCCACCAAGCCGACGAUCUGUAGCUGGUCUGAGAGGACGACCAGCCACACUGGGACUGAGACACGGCCCAGACUCCUACGGGAGGCAGCAGUGGGGAAUUUUGGACAAUGGGCGCAAGCCUGAUCCAGCAAUGCCGCGUGCAGGAUGAAGGCCUUCGGGUUGUAAACUGCUUUUGUACGGAACGAAACGGUCCUUUCUAAUACAAGGGGCUAAUGACGGUACCGUAAGAAUAAGCACCGGCUAACUACGUGCCAGCAGCCGCGGUAAUACGUAGGGUGCGAGCGUUAAUCGGAAUUACUGGGCGUAAAGCGUGCGCAGGCGG
rnacentral:rRNA from 1 species